rnacentral:misc_RNA from 1 species
GAUGAAGAACGUAGCGAAAUGCGAUACGUAGUGUGAAUUGCAGAAUUCAGUGAAUCAUCGAAUCUUUGAACGCACAUUGCACCUCUCGGUAUUCCGGGAGGUAUGCCUGUUCGAGCGUCAUUUGUACCCUCAAGCUCUACUUGGUGUUGGGUGUUUGUUCCGCCUCUGUGUGUGAACUCGCCUCAAAACAAUUGGCAGCCGGCGUACUUGUUUCGGAGCGCAGCACAUUUUGCGAUCCAGAUCAACGUACAGCGGCAUCCAAGAAGCCUUAUUUAACGCUCUUGACCUCGGAUCAGGUAGGGAUACCCGCUGAACUUAAGCAUAUCAAUAAGCGGAGGA